rnacentral:lncRNA from 1 species
AAGACUUUCUGCCCCCAGGGAGGCCUGGGAGGAGGUGCCGGUGAAUCAGGGGCUCUAAAGGGCCACCCAGCACGCCACCCAUCCCUUUGUGACUUAGGGGCCACGGGGUCCUCUGGCUUCGAGGCUGGUAUUUGAUCCCCUGCCGGCCUGUGCAGACAGCCGAGGGCGUGGACGUGAUGAAAGAACCCAGCGCUCGGGCUGAACAAAGCCGGCAGCGAACGUGCUCAGCCCCUUCAGUUUCUUCGCUGAUGGGUCCAAGCGCGCCCUCUAGCGGCCGCCCCUGGAUCUGCGCCCCCGAGUCUUCACACUCGUGUGCGACUGUUCACCUCAAGCCGGGCCACAGCCUCGGAGCCGUGUGAAGACGGGGCAGGACUGCGUGUCGCUAUCCUCUGAACCCCUUCGCCAGGGCUGUCCUGCAGGCAAGUGUGUGAGUCAGGCUGGACCUACCCCCUGGCGGCUUGGGUCGGGUUCCGUAGUGAGCCCAGCUUCUUAACCCACAAGCGCGCCUACAACUCCUCCCUCCUCCGCCCCCAGCUCUGUUCCCCUUUCCGCCUCAGUUGUCAGGGCCGCCUGCAACCCUGCAUCUCAGGCCGUGGUUUGCAGCGCUGGUUGCUGCUUUCCUUGAAGCCCUUCUUUGCAAAGUUUCUGGGAGCUAAUAUUUCCUGCGUGGAUGAAGCCAAGCCAAUCUGGGUGAGUUGACUGUGGACCUGAAGUUGAAUCUGAUCCAUUCACCUUAACCUAGGUUAUUUUAAAACAUACCACAUCGACUCUUUUCUGUUCCUUGUUACAAAAUUUUAGUAUUGUGGAAUGCUGUGUAGGAAAUUCUGAUCAGAUCAAUCUCUAUGAUCUCCUGGAAGAGCAGUGUAAAUUCCAUCUUUGUUCCCUAUUGAAAAAAAACCCGAACGCUUGAGCACUCAUUGGGUACAUGAAAUUGUUUUAGGUGCUAGGCCCUCCAUUUCCUGUAACCCAAGGGGGGUUCUUUUAGGGCAAUUAGAAGGAAGUAACGUGGCGUUUACUUUUGCACAUAUUCCUUCAAAUUUCUGUUUUCUAUAUUACAAGCUACUGUCCACAGAGGGUCAUAAAUCCCCUGGCGAAGUCAUAUGUUACACCACGUGACUCGCUUUGCAUCUGUUUUGCAGCUGUUCACUUUGCAGUUUUAUUUCGCCUUUUGGAAACCCUAGAGCAGUGCUUCUCAAACAUGCGUGCGCAUACGAAUUGCUCAGGCAUCUUGUUAAAAUGCAGAUUUUGAGUCAGGGGGUCUGGGCAGGGCUGAGAUUCUACCGUUCUAAGGAGAUGCUGGGGGGGCCAAUUCUGCUGCUCUGGACACCACACUUGGAAGAGUAGUAGGAACAAGAGGACUGUGGGAGCUGUCACAGUGUCACGUCAAUGUGCAUGUACUGAGCACCAGGCCGGCUCUGUUGGUUCUGGUCUACUGUUCCCGUCACCCCUUCCCUUUCCCUUUUCUUUUUGAUAUCCUUUACUGUUGUCUUGAAUGGAGAGAAGCUGCGAGAGCAAAGCCAAAAGCCAUGUUGAUACAGGCUCUGUGGGUAGCAUCUUAUGUUGCUUCAGGUCCUCUGGGCUGGAAGAAAACAGAAGGGUCGUGCAGCCAGCUGUCACUGAAACCGGUGUGACCUCUGCAUAUGUGUGUGAGAAGCCAGAAAUAGACCCUAAACCUGUGGUUUCAGUUCCUCAACUUUAUUUUGCUAAAGUGAGAGAAGCAGCAGGAAUCUGCAAGAAGCUAGGAUCUUCUCCCUCCUUGACAUGUGCUGUGAUCGAGGGCGGGGUUUCUCCGCUGUGGCACGCAUGACAUUUACGGCUGGAUCAUUGUUUGCUGUAGGGGAGGGUGAGUGGUCUCUGCGUUGUAGGAUGUUUUCUAGCAUCCUGGGACUCUCCCCACUAGAUGCCAGUUACGACGACAAAAAUAUCUACAGCCUUUCCCAGAUGUCCACUUGGGGGCCAAAAUUGCCCCUGGUUGAGAACCACUGAUCUAGGAUAAGGUAUAAUUUGUCAGUUCUGCUGAAUGUGUAUCUUCUUCAAAGUUAUCUAUCUGCCUUUUCAAAUUGCAUCUUGUUUUCCACUUUCUAGGUGGAAUGUUUCUACGUGGGAUACCACAAAAUGGAAUUUCCAAAUAAGUGAAGCUAAAGCAUAGGGGUUUGUAGUCUGGGCCUGUUCCAACUGACCAGCUCUGGCUACUAGAAACACUAGGUUGAAAAGGGUCUGAGGAUUCUGUAUGGGGUGGGAAAGAACUCUGACUGCCAUAGGGAUGGGCGUGGGGCAGCGGGGCCAUUACGCUUGCCGUGGGUUUGUCUUUUUAAAAAACUAUAAAUUGCCAUCAUUCCUUGCAUCCCAAUAUUCUGUUCGCUCUCAAGGGGGCAGUAGCUGUGGUCUGAUGGAAAGCAUGUUGGUCUUGGGGUCUGAAGAUUUGAGUUGGAAUCUCAGCUAUGAAAUUUACUAAGUAUGACCUUGAAUGAGUGGGUCAUUUAAUCUCCCCAAAUCUCAGUUUCCUCAGCUUGAGAUAUGGGCUGUUCAUCCCUCACUCAUAAGGUGGGUGUGAGGAUUAAAGAAGAUAAAUGAAAGUAUAUAAAUAGUACCUGGUUUAUAGGAGAGCUCAAUAAUACAUGUGUGUUUAUGCAUCCUUUAUUUAUUUAUUCAUCCAAUAAAUAGGUGAAACAAAUUUUGGGCUGGGGAGUAUGGUCCUAUACUGAGUGCUUGGAAAAUUUGAGAAGUUGAAACCAGAGUCCUAAAGGGGCUUGUCCAGAAGGAGAAAAGAAGAGCUGGGAGGAUUGGGCCAGCCAUCCUUUCAAAGUGAAGGAAAAGCACAGAUUGUGAGAAGCGAUCUCAAUCUUUGUUCAAGGUCGAUGGAAGAUUAGCCCUGAGCUAACAUCUGCCGCCAAUCCUCCUCUUUUUGCUGAGGAAGCCUGGCCCUGAGCUAACAUCUGUGCCCAUCUUUCUCUACUUUAUAUGUGGGACGCCUACCACAGCAUGGCUUGAUGAGCAGUGCCAUGUCUGCACCUGGAGUAGAUGCUGGAGUUGUGCUGAGCCCCAAAGUGGAAGAUCUAAAGGGGCCUGUUCUUCACGGAUUGAGUCACGGGGAACAUCGAGAAAGAUGAGGCUACUUCUUCACCAACUGCUGUGCUGUGCUGAUGCUUUCGGCCUUAAUUCAGAUAUUACUGGGGGAAAAAGCCCCUAAUUAUAGUCAGUUACUGACUCAUAACCAUACUUUGCUCGUGGUUAUUUCCUCUAAGAAGAAAACAUGUGGUAUUUUUGCCUAAUGGGUGUGUGUGUUUGUAUGUCUGUGUGGUGUUUCUCUCUCCAGAAUGUCUUUACGUGACCUUCAGCCAGAGGGUGGGCCUUCCUAGGAGCUCUUUAAGUCGGCUCCAGCUGUGUACACGGCUGUUGGAUCGCUUUAGCAGACACACCCAGGAUAUGGGUGUGGCUUUGAAAUGCCCAGCUCACAUGCGUGUCAUUUCACGUUACCUUCUGUGGUCAGUAGUAACUGAACAGGAUGCGGAGCUGACCUACUCCUCUGUGCUAGUCCUGACUGUUUAGGUUGCCGGGGACAGGAACCCAGGUCACAGAUUUAAAUCCAGACAGAUUUAUAGGCUCACUUAACGGCAUAGCAUCAGAGGAGAUCCAGGUACAGCUGGAGCCAGACGCUCUUAUAAAAUCAUUGACAGCUGUUUCUAUCUGCUUUCUUCCAUAUUGGCUUCCUUUCCAGGCAGGCUGUUCCCAUUGUGCUGCCUGGAACAGCUACAGCUUGCAUUUUACCUGCUUAGUAAAUCCAGUAUAAAAACACCUCUUGCUCAAUAAUUUCAGCAAAAGUCUGGCGCUCUUAUUGGCCCAGCUAGGGACAUGUGGCCAUCCCUGAAGCGAUCACAUUGGCCACGGUGAUGGAGCGGUCUCACCGACAGCACACGCAUGCCCACCCCUUGUCUCGGGGAGGGAUUCACAUCCACCACGUGACACGGGCUGAGAGCAGAAAGGUAGUUUGCAUUCUAGCAGCUGUUUGUACAGAUAAACUACCCUGGAGUUAAUUUUGAAUAACCAAAUUUUGCAUUUAGUUAUGUUUAGCAUAAAUUUUAGGUCUAAUUUAUGAACUACCGUUAUCUUCUGACCUCGCCAUAUUUUAUGAAUUUCCACACUUAAUGAAGACAGGCUUUAAAAACUUUGAGGUUUCCAAUUCAGACGAGUAAGAAAAUCUCUUUUACUAAAGAAAUUUGACAGCAAUGGAGGCUUUGUGUCUUUAUAUUGAAUGGGGAUAAAAAAACCUCAACAGAAGAAAUCUACUGUUUCUGAUAAAUCUCAGAGCUUAGUUCAGUCUGACCUCGGGUCUUCGGUCCGUUUGACUAAAUCAGCUCACGGUUUGGGUUUAGUUCAAAGGCUUGCAUGUUUAGUCUUCUUACUGGAGGGAUUUCUAACACAGUACCUGGGAAAAGAAAGUGCUUUUGCAUCUAAGAAGUUUCUUCCAAAGUUUCUCCCUUGUUAAAGGGAGACUCGCAUUUCUGAUUUCCUAUUUUGCCUUUUCAGUGGGGGCUUAUGUUAUUCUCUUUCACCAAAAAGCGGACAAGACGUACUUGUUGGUUUCAAAUCCCGCGCUGACUCUGACUUCGCCUCUCUGUGCUUCCGUGUCCUCAUCUGCGGAAACCUCCUGCAUGAUAUUGCUACAUAAACUUCUUAGGACAGGGGCUGAUUAACCCCUUUAGGAGUGUUUGCUGCCAUGAUUGUUAUUUCAUGAGCUCUUGAAGCACAGAACCAUGGGCCUGAUUUGCUUCUGGUUGAGCUGGAAGCUGGGAGGGCAGAGGGCAGAUGCCUGAAGCGAAGCAGCCUAUUAAAAGUAGAAUAGAAAUAGACGAGAGGAAACCCAAGCGCUUUUCUCUUCAGAUAGCUAUCAAACCACGCUUCGCUGCAGACUCUGGGCUUGGUUAUGGCCAGAGAUCAAAGGCUCUCUUAUGUGCAAUGACAUUUCUGAGCACAGGGCUGAGUUAUAAAACUCUUGAAUGGAAGGUUUUGGCACUUGGAACAGCUUGGGAUAGAAAGGCAGGGUUUUCAUAGAGGCGAUUCACGGAACUGCUUAUGCUGGUGGACGAUCCAGACCAUGAUGACUCACAUGUCUCUUUAUUGCUUUGGACCAAGAACUGUUGUUUCCCUUUAAGUCUCUCUGUAGGAGCUGAGCUACAGCCUAGGGCCAAGAUAACUCUUUCAGAAGGACAGUGUGGCUUCAGUGAGUGUGAACAGGAAUAUCCCUUUGUUGGACUCUCGGUUAAGCAUGCUGAACAAGCCAAAUAAGGAUUUUAUUUUUACCAAGGGAUAGAAUUUCUUUUGGAAACUGGCAGCAUCCUUAAUGCUUCUUUAACUUCAAAUAAGCUUUCCUUUUGUCUGUCUGCUAUUUUCAUUUUCUGAAAGCACAGGCUAAAUUUGAUAGUGUGACAAGUAGAGGACAGUAGAACAACGUUGGACUGUUGAAAUCAGUGUGUCUGGGUGGUUGCAUAUGGAACUAGGCAUGGUAGAAGGGGUCAUUUGGAGUCUGGUUUGCCUGAGGUCCUGCUAGGUCUCCUGGGAAAAACGGGGAAGAGGAUUUUUGGACUGAUGGUAAGACCUAGUGUGGUGGGCAGACUUCUAAGAUAGUUCCCACUGUUCCCCACCUCCUGGUACUUACUCCCUUGUGUAAUCUCCUCCUCUUGUAUUCGGGCUGGAUCUGGUGACCUGCUUCUCAGGAAUAGAUCAUGACAAAAGUAACAGACUGCCGCUUCCAUGUUUAUGUUACAAAGACUGUGAUGUCUACCUUGCUAGGACUCUCUCUUGCUGCCACUUUUUCAUUCUCGCUCUUGCCUUCUUGGCUUGCAUGCUUUGAUGGAGCCGGAUGCCUUGUUGGAGAGGCCCACCUGGCAAGGAACUGAGGGUGGCUUCGGGUCAACAUCGUGCAAAGAACUGAGACCCUCAGUCCAAUGCCCCUGAGGAACUGAAUCCUGCCAACAACCAUGCAAGGUGCUGCAAGUGCAUCCUGCCCCGGGUGUAUCUUGAGUUGAUUGCAGCCGUGACCGCCCACCUUGACUUCUGUCUUGUGAGAGGCCCUGAGGCAGAGGACCCAGCUAAGCGGUUCCUGCAUCCCUGCCCUCCAAAACUGUGAGAUAAUUGUGGAUUGUUUAAUCUGCUACAUUUUGGGGUAAUUUUUAACACAGCAAUUGUAAGUAAUAUACCAGGUCAGUAAAAUUUACUAUCUUGAGCAAAGAGGGAAACAAAGCCUGUCUCCAAACUCUGGGGUUUUGGGUAAUUUUAGUGGGUUGGGAACUCACUAUGAAGUAGCAGAUUGUCCUUAAUUCGUGGAGACAGAGGUCCUUGUGGGGUGGUGUUCAUUAUGGUCUCUAAUCCAGUGCCUGGGAGUUAUCCCCACCCUUCGGGAAGGAAUGCUGAACCAGAAGAGACAGGAUUUAUUGGGGAAUCUUAAUUGGACCUGAAGUCACUGGUUGGGAGAAAAAUCAAGAGUAGGAAGUGUUAAGUGUGGGGAGAGAGAGGCAGGUUCAAGUCUUUAUUUGCAGAUAAUAGUGGUUUCAGAAUAAGCUUACCGUGUGGUUGGGAGGAAAAGAAUCACAAAGAAAGGUGAAAUUUCAGGGAGAGGUGCUAUGGAAGCGGCAAAUGGUGAAGGAUUCCUCUGAGCAGCCCAGAAGAAAUGACAUACCAGCGCUAGUGGAGGAGGAAAACCACAUUUCAGGAAAACAAACGAAAACUUAAAUGAAUAAUAAAUUCUCAAUGUGGAAACUCUGAAUAGACGUGGAUAAAGAUAAGGGUAAAAAUAGAUCACACGUCAUCCCACUACGCACAGGGAACCAAUGUUAACAUUUUUGUAUGUUUCUCUUUGUCAGUGCAUAUUUUUAUAUUGUUGAUAUUGUUACCAUAUAUGCAAUUUUUAUUUAAUUAAAAAAUUUAAUUAUGAAAUAAUUCAAACAUGCAAAAAAGUUCAGAAAAUAAUAUGACACCAAAUGCAGUGGCUUAGAUUAAAUUUGCUAGCAAUAGAAUGCCCCUUCACCCCCUUCAAUAAAAUUGGUGUGGACAAGAUAGACAUUUAUUUUUCCCUCAUGUAAAAGAAAUCUGUAGGGACUCAGUCCAGGAUGAGUUGGUAGUUCUACAGCAUCAUCAUUAGGAAUCCAACUUCCAGCUCUCUGCUCCACCAUUCCUGCGAUGCCUUCAUGCUUAUAAGAUGGUUGUUGGAGCUCCAGCAAUUGCAUCCACAUUCUACACCAUAGGAAUGCCUCUUCCUCUUUAAAGAGACCUCUAAGAAGUUUCGUGCAACACUUUCACAUUGUAUUGGCUCAAAUUUAGUCAUGUGGUCACAUCUAAUUGCAUGAUGGGCAGGAAAUUAAGUCUUUCAUUCAAGGUGAUGACAUUGCCAGCUAAGAAAUCUUUGCUACACCAUGGAACCACCAACUGGAUUUAACAUAUAAUACCACUUUGCUACUUUGGAUCUCUUUUUAAAUUUUUUGGAUUAAAAGUGAAGAAUUAAAGGGGCCAGCCCUGUGGUGUAGUGAUUAAGUCCACUGCACUCGGCUUUGGUGGCCUGGGUUCACAGGUUCAGAUCCCAGGCACGGACUUACACCAAUUGUCAAGCCAUGUUGUGGUGGUGACCCACGUGCAAAAUGCAGAAAGAUUGGCACAGAUGUUAGCUCAGGGUGAAGCUUUCUCAGCAAAAAAGAAAAAAAGAAUGAAGAAUUAAACAUAUAGAUAGAUUCCAUUUUCACUGAGGAUGUAAAAAUUGGAAGUGUCAUUCUUAUUUAACAAGAAAAAGUCAGAUAAACUACAAAAUCACAACUUUUCUCAAGCCCAUUAGAAAAUUGAGGUUGGAGGGUGAUUAAGCAGACUGAAAUCUAAGGAAAGACAGGCUCCUCAAAAAAGGGACAGGAUUCCCCCACCGCCCCAACCUUGGCAGAGAGCAUGGCAGGAAGAAACACUGGGUACUGUACUAGUAGGUAAGAAGUGAGCUAAAAUUUUUAAUGAACUUCUAAAGGCUUGAUGUGGGUUACUGUGACAGUGUGGAAAUCUUGGCAUUCCCAGACACAAGGGAAAUUCACACUUAUUAAUAGGUUCUUCACAAUGGACCUCUGCUAAGCGUUCACAAGAAAGACUGAGGCUAGGAGGGACACCAGAAAACGCUUUCCUAGGUGGUUCAGACCUGAAAAAAGAGAUUGCUCUCCACUGCAGGAACCUUUCCCCCUGUGGAACAAUAGCUGUAAGCUGUUGAAGGAAGGACAACAAACCAUUGCCUCUAGCAACACAAGUGAAGACCCAUUGGGGCUGGGGGGAAAGGAAAAGAAAAGAAAUCCUUUAUUCCUCAGGGAGAGAAGUAGAAAACAAUUCUAAGCAAGAAUCCUAUACCAAUCUUAUUAGUGGUCUCCUACUGGUGGGGAAGGGCAGGAAGCUAUCUCUUGCACAAGACCUUCUAAAGAUAUAAAGCAGUUAGGUUGCCAUGGGGAGGAAGGACAGAAUCACUGAAACAGUCACAUCUCUGAGACCCAGGGACACGGGGCCUGCCAGGACAGCAGAAAAUUUCCCCUCUGCUGCCCUCUCACCCCAGCCAGGCUAGCAAGCACUGAGUAACAAGCCACAGCAGCUUACCACUGGGGAACGGACAAGAAUAUGGAAGGAGAUGCCCUGUGUGGUGCAGGCACACGGGGAAGGCUAAAGGCUAAAGGUGGAGCAGAAACGUUGAGAAAAAUCCUCUAGCUUCCAGCCCCUGCACCAGGCACAAGGUAACACCAGAGGAAUUUGGAGCAACUGGUGCAUAGUAAUGAUAGCAACAACAAAACUCAGUAGAGCGAAGGUAACCAUAGCAACAACAAAACUCAGUAUAGUGAAGGUAGCCAUAGCAACGACAAAACUAAAACCCUACUCAAUUCCUGACUAGGUUGACUCAACUCCCCACAGUAAUGACCUACUAAAAGAACUUAUGUGUCCAUUUCUAGGCAUAGAUACUGUUUAUCUCAGUCUUUACUGUUCUACAUACACUGUCUGGCAUUCAAUAAAAAAAUCACGACAUAUACACAUAAGAAGAAACCCCCAACUGUUAAAAGACAAAGAGUGAAUAAAACCAAGCUCAGAGACUGCCCAGACGUUAGAAGUAUCAGGGAAUUUAAAAUAACUAUGAUCAAUAUGUUAAAAGAUGCAGUGGGGGGCUGGCCCUGUCACAUAGUGGUUAAGUUCAGCGUGCUUCACUUUGCUGGCCUGGGUUUGCAGGUUUGGAUCCUGGGCCUGGACCUCCACCACUCAUCAGCCAUGCUGUGGCGGUGACCCACAUACCAAGAAGAGGAAGAAUGGCACGGAUGUUAGCUCAGGACUGAUCUUCCUCAGGAAAAAAAAGAGGCAGAUUGGCAACAAAUGUUAGCUCAGGGCAAAUCUUCCUCAGAAAAAAAAAAUUUAAAAAGAUGUAGUGGAGAUGUGGACAAUAUACAUGAAUAGAUGGGAGAUUUCAGUAGAGAGAUGGAAAAUGUAAGAGAAAGUAAAGUGGAACUGUUAGAAAUAAAAAACAAAGUAACGGAGAGAAAGAAUUCUGUCAAUGAGCCGUUCAGGAGGCUUAUACCGCCAAAGAAAGAAUAAAUAAACCUGAAGACGGGCUAAUAGAAAUUUCCCAAGUCAAAACACAAAGAGAAAACGAAAAACCCAAAAACCCUAGGAGCACUCAAGAGCUGUGAGACAAGACCAAAUGGGCUAACGUGUAUAAUUGAAUCUCAGAAGGAGAAGAGAGAAAGAACAGGGCAGAAGAUACAAAAUUUACUCCUCCCGACCCAUUUCUUUCUCUUCUCAGAGGGAAGAUUUGUCCUGAAGUUAGUAUAUGUUCCUUCCAUCAUGUUUUAAUACUUUUUAGUACACCUGAAUGUGACUGAAAUGAUGUAUGGUAUUGUUUUUGUUUAAAAAAAAUAUAUAAAUGGCAUCAUGUUAUCUUUCUUUGCAAUCUACUUUUUUAAAUUAAAAAUUAAAAUUGGAGGACUGGCUCCUUGGCGUAGUGGUUAAGUUCAUGAACUCUGCUUUGGUGGCCUGGGGUUCACUGGUUCAGAUCCAGGGUGCAGACAUACACAUCACUCAUCAGGCCAUGCUCUGGUGGCACCCCACACAGAAGAACUAGAAGGAUCUACAACUGGAAUAUACAACUGUGUGCUGGGGCUUUGGAGAGGGAAAAACAAAAGAGGAAGAUUGGCAACAGAUGUUAGCUCAGGGCCAACCUUAAAAAAAAAUUAAAAUUGAUAAUUUUAACUAUUAUAUGAUAUAUCAUUAGUUUAUUUAUUCAUUCCCCAAGUGAUGGAAAUAUAGGUUUAUUUUAAUUUUUAAUAUUAUAAACAAUGCUGUAAUAAAUGUAUUUGCACAUGAAUACUUGUGAACAUGUGAGAUUCAUAUUUAUUCCUCAGCAUGUAAUUCUGAGUUAAGGAAAAAGCAAUUUUCAAUAUUACUAAGUAUUGACAAAUUGUUCAUUAGAACGGCUGAAUUGAUUUACACUUCUACUAGCAGUGAAUAAUAAUUUCUUAUUCUUGACAUUUUCACAAAUGCUUGGUAUUAUCAGAUCUUAAUUGUUGUCAAAUUAUGGGUGUAAAAUUCUAUUUUAAUGUUUUAAUUUUCAUUUCCCCUGAAUAUCUUUUGAUAUGUUCAUUGGAUGUUUCUGUUUUUG